UGGGGAAUUGUUCGCAAUGGGCGCAAGCCUGACGACGCAACGCCGCGUGGAGGAUGAAGACUUUCGGGUCGUAAACUCCUUUCGACCGAGAUGAGUGUCCUCCGACCUAAUACGUCGGAGGAGUGACAGUAUCGAGGGAAGAAGCCCCGGCUAACUCCGUGCCAGCAGCCGCGGUAAUACGGGGGGGGCAAGCGUUGUUCGGAAUUACUGGGCGUAAAGGGUUCGUAGGUGGCUCGCUAAGUCAGACGUGAAAUCCCUCAGCUUAACUGGGGAACUGCGUCUGAGACUGGCGAGCUCGAGUGCAGGAGAGGAACGCGGAAUUCCAGGUGUAGCGGUGAAAUGCGUAGAUACCUGGAGGAACACCGGUGGCGAAGGCGGCGUUCUGGACUGCAACUGACACUGAGGAACGAAAGCCAGGGUAGCAAA
rnacentral:rRNA from 1 species